rnacentral:rRNA from 1 species
UACGAAGGGGGCUAGCGUUGCUCGGAAUUACUGGGCGUAAAGCGCACGUAGGCGGAUCGAUCAGUCAGGGGUGAAAUCCCAGAGCUCAACUCUGGAACUGCCUUUGAUACUGUCGGUCUAGAAUAUGGAAGAGGUGAGUGGAAUUCCGAGUGUAGAGGUGAAAUUCGUAGAUAUUCGGAGGAACACCAGUGGCGAAGGCGGCUCACUGGUCCAUUACUGACGCUGAGGUGCGAAAGCGUGGGGAGCAAACAGG